GAGCGAACCUAUAAAGAAAAAUGCUUUAUGAGUGUUUGAAUACGGUGAUUCAAAUACCGUGAUUUUUAUGUUUCUUAAACAUUGUACAGUAGUACGACCUGAAAAUGAAUUCAUUUAUAGUCAGGCUCACUCUGAGUAAAGAUCAAUUGAAUGAAUUAGCAAACAUUUAAAGAAAGGUAAAAUAAAGGCGAUUUUGCUUUUACAUUUUACUGUAUAGCAGCAGCAGCUGAUCAAUCUCCUAUUACAGUGAAUAGGAUUACAGUAGGGCUGGGUGAUAAAUCGAUUUUAUCGAUUAACUCGAUUGUGUAGUUCACGUCGAUCUGUUUUAAUAAAAAUCGGUUUUCUCUUUAAUGUCCGCCGACGCUCCCCUCUGGGCUUCCAUUUCGACCGAACUCAGCCCUCUCCCCACGCGUUUGCCAUAGAGAUACACAAACAACAUAGCAGCGAGCAGAGAAGAACUCGUUCCCAAGAAAGGCACAGUGUCAUCUGUAAUUUGGAAUUGGUUCGGUUUUGCUGAGUCAGACGCAGCACAAACACCACCCCGCUGCAAAGUGUGUUUGAAGGCUGUUGCAAGCAAAGGUAGCAGUACCACCAAUUUACUGCAGCACCUCAAACAGAGGCAUGCUGUCGAGUGGGAGAGAUGUAGGGCCCUAAGAAAUAAACAAGACAGUGGCAGCACAAGCACAACUGCCAAAAAACUACCUACAGUCUUACAAACAUUUACAAACUGUGUUCCGUAUGAUAAAAAUUGGGCCCGGUGGAAAGCGAUCACGGAUGCAGUGGCAAUUUAUAUCGCAAAAGAUAUUUUGCCCAUAUGUACUGUGGAAAAGCCGGGGUUUAUUCAUAUGCUGAAAGUUUUGGACCCCAGGUAUGUGCUACCAAGCCGCAAAUAUUUUUGUGAAGUUGCCUUGCCUUAGCUAUAUAAUAAUACACGCCAAAGGAUUGCUAAGGAGUUGUAAGCGGUGACGUUUUACUCCGCCACAGCAGAUUUAUGGUUCAGUCGAACGAUGCAGUCCUAUGAGUUUAACGGUGCACUUUGUUAACGACGACUGGACUCUCCGAAACGUCUGCCUCCAAACGGCGUACUUUCCCGACGACCACAAGGGGGAAAUAAUUGACCAGGGGCUAAAAGAUGCUCUGAGCUCUUGGAACCUCGUUGAAGACCGACUAACCUGUAUGACUACAGACAGCGGCACCAACAUGAUCAAAGCUCUGAAUGACAACGAGUGGCCCAACCUCCAGUGCUUUGGACACAGAUUGCACAAAGCUAUAGAGAAUGGACCCACGGAUCGAACGUGCCAUUGGGGUGUGUAAAAAAGGCUGUUUCUGCCUUUUCUUACAGCUGGAAAAAGAAGAGACAUGACUAAAGUACAGGCGGAGCUUGGUCUACCCACUCAUCAGCUAGUAACGGAGACUACAGAUCAACAGAUGGGGUUGAUAGAUUUCUCGAGCAGCAGAAGGCCAUAGUCCGUGUCCUGGGUUCGGACAAGAUAAGUCGUCAUCUUGUGCCCACUUGGCAAGAUUCAGAUGUUUUGGAGUCCAUAAAUAAAGCUGUGAAACCACUCCAAGACUUUACCGACGCACUCUCUGGGGAGUCUUAUGUCAGUGUUUCCUACAUUAAACCGGUGCUCCAUCUGUUCAAAACCAGUCUCCUACAGCCAGAGGAGGAAGACACAGAGCUCACUAAAACAAUAAAAAGAAACAUAAUGCAGUAACUUGACGAAAAAUACAGCGACCCUGUAAAGGAUGAACUCUUGGACAUGUUCUCACUGAUGGACCCAAGCUUCCGCACAACCUACAUUGACCCAGACAAGGUGGAAUAAAGGGCUGUCCCUGAGGCUGAGCUCAUGUCUCUACCUGCUCCUGCCAACAGCAGUACACCACAGCAGCCUGGCCCAGCAGUGCAGGUGCGACAAGAAGAAGCACAGCCUCCACUCAAGAAAAAGAGGACUUUAGCAGCCUUCUUCAAAAAUAAUGCACCAGUGGCAUCUCCCCACCAGUCAUCGGCAGUAACGUUAGAGACUGAGUUGACGACUUACUUAUUGACCCCUGAGGUAGACCCAGACACAGAUCCCCUUGAGGGGUGGAAGCGCUACCAACCGAAUUUUCCAAGGCUAAGUAGACUGGCAAAAAAAUACCUCUCUGUCCCAGCAACGAAUGCCCCCUCAGAGAGAGUUUUUAGUGUAGGGGGUGGCAUUGUUACAUGUGCAUGCCUCAAGCCAGAGGUAGAAGACUGGCUUUCUGUAGUCCUGGCUAAGAAUGUUUAGAAGAAAAGAAAGGAUGUUCAAACUGCACAACAAAUAUGCACCUUAUGCUCUCAUGCACUGAUAUUUAAUGCUGUUGAACUACCUCCAAUCUGCUGAAUAGCAAGAUGUUAAACUUGUGUUUAAAGAAAACUUAAUUUCUGUAUGAUAAAGUUUUAUGUUGUGUUA